GCAAGAAUAUUCUAAGCUCCACUGAGUGGUCCCUGGUGGAAGAUGAAGAAAAAUGAGAAUGUGAAUCCUUGGUGGCUUAGAGAAGCCUAAAAGACUGGACAUUAGGACCAGCCUAGGAAAGAAGUAACAAAAGACUGGCUGCAGUCACCCGAAGGCUCAACUGAGGCUGGAGGAUCCACUUCUAAGGUGCCUGCCUGGAAGACUGGUUCAUGGUUGACAGCUAGACCCUGCAGAAAGGGGAACAGAAGAGGCCAGUGUUGCUGUUUCCGAGGUGA